rnacentral:rRNA from 1 species
AACGAACGCUGGCGGCAUGCCUAACACAUGCAAGUCGAACGAGACCUUCGGGUCUAGUGGCGCACGGGUGCGUAACGCGUGGGAACCUGCCCUUAGGUUCGGAAUAACUCCCCGAAAGGGGUGCUAAUACCGGAUAAUGUCUUCGGACCAAAGAUUUAUCGCCUUUGGAUGGGCCCGCGUUGGAUUAGCUAGUUGGUAGGGUAAAAGCCUACCAAGGCGACGAUCCAUAGCUGGUCUGAGAGGAUGAUCAGCCACACUGGGACUGAGACACGGCCCAGACUCCUACGGGAGGAAGCAGUGGGGAAUAUUGGACAAUGGGCGAAAGCCUGAUCCAGCAAUGCCGCGUGAGUGAUGAAGGCCUUAGGGUUGUAAAGCUGUUUUACCCGGGAUGAUAAUGACAGUACCGGGAGAAUAAGCUCCGGCUAACUCCGUG